ensembl:lncRNA
GGCGGGACCGCGACACCGCUGUGUUUUGGGGCGGCAGCGGGCUUGCAGCCCGAAGGCUUCGGCGCUCGGCGGCGGGCGGGGGCCUUCACAAAAUGAGAUGCCGUGUCAGUGACAUGAAGAUACCACAUGGGAUUAAGGAUGGAUCCAGGAAGUUUGGGACCAUAGAGAGCCAGUCUGUCAGGACCAUGUAGUGCAGCUAAUGGAUGUAAAGCUCUGAUUCCACAGGGAACAGAGAAAGAGAGAGUCUCUGAAAUUGGGCGAGAGAGUCUCCAAACUGAAAGGAAGAGUCUCCAGGAGAGAGUCAGAGCUGACAGGGAGAAUCUCCAGGUCCAGAAAAAGAGUCUUCUAGUUGAGAAACAGGAUCUCCAGAUUGAGUGAGAGAGUCUCCAAGCUGAGAAUGAAGGUCUCCAAUCUGAGAGAGAGAAUCUCCAAUCUGAGCGAGAUACACUCCAAUUUGAACAGGAUACCCUCCAAAAUGAGUGAGAUACCUUCCAAUCCAAGCUAGAUAGUCUCCAAACUGAAUGAGACAAACUCCAAUCUCAAUGAGACAGCCCCCAAACCACACUCCUAACCAAACAAGACAGACUCCAAGCGGAGCUGGAGAGAAAGAGCAUCAAAACUGACCAACCUGAUCAAUCACACAAAACACCAGGAUCGAUGUCAGUUGCCCACAUAAGAGGAUGGAAGUUGAAACAAGCAUUGCCUCGUUUAGAAUGGAAGGAAGAGGAAGAAGAUUCUGUAAGAGAAGAGGAGAAAAUAGAAGAAAAAGAUCCAGGAGAGUGGCCCCUAUUUCCAGGGGAGGAGCCCUCAACAAGACCAUGGUUGCUGACACGAAGGGGGGCUAAAAGAGAAGAAGGUAAAUAAGACGUUGUCACCAUUACUAUUCAACCUCUGAAAAUGACUGAAAUUUGAGGUUCGAGAAAAUAUUUUUCACCUCCCCUUUUCCCAAGGUGUGGGUCCGUGGAUCCCCCCGCCCCACUAGUCAUGGAACCAGGCUGAACCAUCCCGUAAACCAUUUAAAACGGGUCAUCUUAUCUAGCUCUUUUUUCUUUUCCUUUUCUUCCUUUGAAGGACAAGGGCUGAGCAUUUCCUUGACCAUGAGUCACUUGGACCUGAGAGUUUUUCCAAACAAGUUUGUGUUUUAUGGAGAAACUCCCACUUUUGUAAAGGAACCUGUCUCACCGAGACAAAGUCUUUUAUUAGUUAUGAUCACAUGCAUUUGUGGUCCAGGCAUUUCCUCUUUCCUUGUGCCAAUGGGAGGCAGAAGAAAGGGUGACAUUUUUGUUUAAUGCUAGCCAGACUCAACACUAUGCACUAGGUGACGUUCUUCUGUUUUUUGAGUUAAAAUUGCUUAUGCUUCAAGAAGAUGUUAGGCAAUAGCAAGGCAUACUGUGCUAGUC